CCAGAGAUGGCGGAGCGGUCAAUCGCACCUGACUGUAAAUCAGGCGUCCUUAGGGCUUCGGAGGUUCGAAUCCUUCUCUCUGGA
rnacentral:tRNA from 1 species